AUCCAGCUGACGUGUCCCAAAUAGGGUGAAGCAUCCGUCCUGGAU
rfam:Schistosoma haematobium scaffold637_13, whole genome shotgun sequence.